rnacentral:rRNA from 1 species
AACGAACGCUGGCGGCGCGCCUAAUACAUGCAAGUCGAGCGAGAAGACGUAGCAAUACGUUUGUAAAGCGGCGAACGGGUGAGGAAUACAUGGGUAACCUACCCUCGAGUGGGGAAUAACUAGCCGAAAGGUUAGCUAAUACCGCGUACGCUCCUUGGACUUCGGUUCAGGGAGGAAAGCGAUACCGUGGGUAUCGCGCUCUUGGAUGGGCUCAUGUCCUAUCAGCUUGUUGGUGAGGAACGGCUCACCAAGGCUUCGACGGGUAGCUGGUCUGAGAGGACGAUCAGCCACACUGGCACUGCGACACGGGCCAGACUCCUACGGGAGGCAGCAGUAAGGAUAUUGCGCAAUGGGCAAAGCCUGACGCAGCGACGCCGCGUGGGGGAUGAAGGUCUUCGGAUUGUAAACCCCUUUCGGGAGGGAAGAUGGAACGAGCAAUCGUUCGGACGGUACCUCCAGAAGCAGCCACGGCUAACUUCGU